rnacentral:rRNA from 1 species
UACAGAGGGUGCAAGCGUUGUUCGGAAUUACUGGGCGUAAAGGGCGCGUAGGCGGCCUUCUAAGUCGGACGUGAAAUCCCUCGGCUUAACCGAGGAACUGCGUCCGAUACUGAAAGGCUUGAAUCCGGGAGAGGGAUGUGGAAUUCCAGGUGUAGCGGUGAAAUGCGUAGAUAUCUGGAGGAACACCGGUGGCGAAGGCGGCAUCCUGGACCGGCAUUGACGCUGAGGCGCGAAAGCUAGGGGAGCAAACGGG